AUUGAACGCUGGCGGCGUGCUUUACACAUGAAAGUCGGACGAGUGGCGAACGGGUGAGUAACGCAUCGGAACGUACCGAGGAAUGGGGGAUAACUGUCCGAAAGGACAGCUAAUACCGCAUAUUAUUCGAGCGGCCGAUGUCUGAUUAGCUGGUUGGCGGGGUAAAGGCCCCCCAAGGCGACGAUCAGUAGCGGGUCUGAGAGGAUGCUCCCCAACACUGGGACUGAGACACGGCCCAGACUCCUACGGGAGUCAGCAGGUGGGAAUUUUGGACAAUGGGCGCAAGCCUGAUCCAUCCAUGCCGCGUGUCUGAAGAAGGCCGUCGGGUUGUAAAGGACUUUUGUCAGGGAAGCGGUACCUGAAGAAUAAGCACCGGCUAACUACGUGCCAGCCGCCGCGGUAAUAC
rnacentral:rRNA from 1 species